rnacentral:lncRNA from 1 species
CAUAAUAAAUAUACAUGAAGCAUCUACUAUUCAAAUUCUUCAAAAUUUGUUAUAUAUUGUUCAUUUGAUAUAAGUUAUUGAAGUCAAUUUGUACCUGAUGAGAUGAUUAGCAUACAAUUUCAGAGUAGUAACAACUUACAAUCUGUUGCAGAGACUGAAUCGAGUUAAGACAAUCAGAGACAACACACAUUCACAUUAGGAUACCAGAAUUAUUACAUGGAUUUAAUCUUCUCUAAAUAUUGUAGCGAGUUCAACGGACACAUUCACAAUUUAAAAACAAAUUAAAC